rnacentral:sRNA from 1 species
AGGAAGAACCUCGGAGUCUCUGUGAGUUAGCGCAGUAAAAGACAUGUAGUCUCUGCCAACUUCACCCUCCAUGAGGCUUACUGCCUGCGGUUCCUGGUCCUGUGUCCGGAGUGUGAGGAGCCUGUCCCCAAGGAAACCACGGAGGAGCACUGCAAGGUGGAGCACCAGCAGGUGAGGAGGCGGCAGGGAGGAUGGGGUCUGAGAGUCAAGGCGAGUGUUCAGUCCUCCCUGCAGGAGAGAUGGGGUCUGAGAGGUGGGGGAUGAGGGUCUAGUCCUCCCUGCAGGUGAGAUGGGGUCUGGGAGUCAAGGUGAGUGUUCAGUCCUCCCUGCAGGUGAAAUGGGGUCUGGGAGGGGCAAGUGUUCCAUCUUCCCUGCAGGAGAGAUGGGGUCUGGGAGUCACGGAGUGGGUCCAGUCCUCCCUGCAGGAGAGAUGGGGUCUGGGAGUCACGGAGUGGGUUCAGUCCUCCCUGCAGUUGAAAUGGGGUCUGGGAGGGGCAAGUGUUCCAUCUUCCCUGCAGGAGAGAUGGGGUCUG